UGAUCCUUUUUUUUUUUUUUUAGUGCUAAUACUACUACCUAGUACAUUGACAGUCCUUUGUUGUUUGUUUUUUAUAGCUAUGCUUCAUUCAAUUUGUCAAUGCUUAUGCAAGUCAACCAUUUCAUAAAGUGGCAACCUUACUAUGAUCACUGUGUUUGCAUAAUCAGAAAGGCUUGUCUUAGAAAGAUAAUGUAUCAGUUUUAUCUGUGAAAUGUUUAUUCAGAAGUCAGUACACUAUCAGUAUGACUUGUCUUAGACAGAUUAUGUAUUAGAUUUAUUGGAAGAAACAAACUCUGUAGAUUUAUUAUAAAGCCGCUUUGUUUAUUAUGAUGUUCAGGUAGUAUGUACAUAAUGUUCAUUUAUAUAACAGACAUUCUUCAAUGAAGGUCUCAGAACUGUGAUACAAUGACCUGUACAAUAGUAUAACUUAGCAUCAUUUUUUUAGAAGGGUUUUUCAGAGAACUAGAUUGCUUGUACAUUUGGGCUUUGGGUAAAGUUAUGAUUUGUUAAAUUUGUUUCUGUUGUGGCAAUGUGAGCAUCUAUUUAUUUCUUUUUUUCUUCUUUGUUUCACUAAUUUGAAAUGAGCAACAUAUGUUCUCACUACUAGUGAAAUAAAAUUUAAUUUAAUGAACAAGUGUGUAAUGAUUUCAAAGUGAGAAUAAAGAUUAUUCUAUCGCCUGUUUGCUAAAUGAGCAAAGGUUUAUCAAUCUAUAAUCACUUUUAGUUGACAAGAAAUACAAGUUUCUUGGUCACAUUUCAGAUAUGCCUUGUUAUAAAUAGUUUGUAAACUAAUUCAUUUGAGCCACUAACUUUUUUUUUCUAUUGUUAUUUUGUAUUGCUGGAUAGAAUGUGACAACAGAAAUAUGCAAUUGUUUUGUUCACUAUUGUUUUGACUAAAGUUCAACUCAUGUUCUAUGAUAUGUGUUACUGUAGAUAUGCCAAUGUUUUGAAUGUUGUGACCUUUAGUGCUCUGGUCCUUUUUUUUUUUUUUUUUUUUUUUGUUUUACUAUUGCUACAACUUCUAGUCUGUUCAGAGCAUUUCAUUUAACUGGGUGUACACCUCACAUACUGAACUGUUUAUCCAUUAGUUCAAGAGACCAAGAAUGACAAUCAUUGUUCUGUAACUUAAUUUUCAGAAAAGGUUUAGUUCUCUUGGCUGCUUUACUUUCAUUUGGUUAGGUUCCAAAUUUAAACUACUUCCACAUUUUUAAGUCAUACACUUAAACAAAUUCUUGGAGAUAUGUGUUUGAUAAAAGUGUGGAAUGUGAGCCGGUUUAGCCAUAUUUUGUUCUCUAUUGUGUUGUUCCAAGUGAAUAUCAUGUUUGUACUCCAUUGGGCUCUAAGACAGAUGCUCAAGUGAUACUUUGUAUUUAUAUUUAAUCUGGUGUCAACAAUGUACUGCAGUGUUGAUGCAUGUUUCAGUUGGAUUAAAGAUCAGUUAUAGCUCAA